rnacentral:lncRNA from 1 species
GAUGAAUUUGCAAUAAUCUGAAAUCAAACUGAGCUGCACCCAGACACUUUGAUCUAUGAGGAACAACAAAGGGUUUAUUUUCUGCCAAACUUCUAUUAUCGUAAUGUAACAGAAAAAUACGCAAUACUAAUAAAAAAAGCAGCUUCAGAAAUAGGAAUAACAAUACUGCAAAACUGCCACAAAUUUUUGAUUUUCCCUGAUUGAACUGACUGAAUGAAACCACAGGUUGAUCUCUCUUUUGGUUUACCUUCCAGUCUGCUGUGGCACUGUGCUGUGGGAUCUGUCAUGGGCUGUAUCAGUGUCUGGCAGUGGCCAAUAGCUCUGGGUGAACAUGCUGAGCCCUGGCCCUCACCAGAGGUGGUCACUGAUGCACAAAGAGCGAGGCAGGAACAGCCCUGGGUGAACAUGCUGAGCCCUGGCCCUCACCAGAGGUGGUCACUGAUGCACAAAGAGCGAGGCAGGAACAGCCCUGGGGAGCUCAGGGCUCAGGUGCUGAAACCUGACACUGAUCAAACAGAGAUCAGUCUCAAAAGCACAACACUCUCCACUGCAGGAAAACAUCUCUGCUGUUUGUGUCACCCAACACAGCCCCCCUGA